UUUAAACUUUUCUCCAAAGUUUGGACAUUUCUGACAUUGGACAUUCGAAAAUAUUCAAAUAAACUACAGUCAAAAGUGGUAAUUUGAAAAAAUAAAUGCUCUAAAUAACGUUCACUAAAAUGGAUACAAACUAAUUAAAUACGAUCAUUUUUUUCUACGUCUUUAUGUCACUCCUGUCAAGUAACGGCUUCUGUGUUUGAUGUCUUGGCACGCUCGAACCGUGCGUGCCUAAUAUCAUCAUGUUUGUCCAUUACUUGUCAGUUUCUUCUUUGCUUUGGUUCCCAACAUUUUCUGGAAUGUUUUUGUUUCUGACAUUCCCUUCAGGCUCCCGGGAGCUUUAAACAUUUUGGCCGUAAUGUCUUUCCUGUUGGUGCCUUGACAUUGUGAUCCGUGAUAGAAUUCCGGAACCCUCUGACUCGGAUUGCUGUCCUGAUGUGAUCUUGCUGCAUUGGAUCUUAACUAUGCUUGUCAACCCAAGUCACAGCGACCAACAUAUGUGGGAGGAAGCCGGAAUACCCAGAGGGAACCCACACAGUCAUGGCUUCCCACAUGCAAACUCCACAUGGAAAGACCCCGAGCCCAGGGAUCGAACCCAGGACCUUUGAAUUGUGAGGCACAUGCACAAAACAAAAGGUCGCGCGGGCAGCAGUCUAGGAGCACAGACUUCCCUAACCCCAGCUACUUUGUCCAGCUCAUCCCGGGGGCUCCAGAGAUAUUCUCAAGCCAGCUGUGAGACAAAGUCUCUCCAACGUGUUCCGGGUCUUCCUCAUGGCCUCCUACCAGUCAGAAGUGCACUAAACACCUCCCCUGGCAGCGGAGGUCCCUGGGGGACAUUCUGACCGGAUGCCCGAAACACCUCAUCUGGGUCCUCUCAAUGUGGAGGAGCAGAGGCUUUACUCUGAGCUCCACCCGCACGACAGAGCUUCUCACACUAUCUCUAAGAGAGAGCCCCGCCACCCGACCGAGGAAGCUUGUUUUAGCCGCUUGUACCCGUGAUCUUGUCCUUUCAAUCACAACCCAAAUAUUAUCACCAUAUAGAGGAUGGGAACAUAGAUCCACCGGUAAAUUGAUAGCUUUGCAUUCCUGCUCAGCUCUUUUUUCACCACAACAGACCAAUGCAGGGUCCGCAUCAGGACAUAUGUUAACACCGCCUGUUGAUCUCAUGAUAUACUCUCCCCUCACUCGUGGACAAGACCCAAGGUCCUCCACCUGGAUAUAUCUAAAUGUUAAAACUAAAUCCAAAUGUUGAAUCUAAAUCUAAAUGUGAUCAUCUCUCACCAAGUGUAAAGAUAAAUAUUUACAGAAAUGCAAAUUUUUUAAAUCUUCUCAGCCACCAAUCCGGGUCCACAUCAUUGCCCCUCAGUGUAAUUUUAUCCCAUUUGACCAUACAAAGGGUUGCUUGCUUUAAGAUGUAAGAUCUAUGUUGAAAAGGCAAUAUAUUGUCAGGAAAAACAGUUGUA